GUUUUUUAGUCCUUGGAGUGAUUUGUCUGCUUAAUUGCGAUAACGGACGAGACCUUAACCUGCUAAAUAGGGCUGCGAGCAUCUGCUCGGGUGCUCUUCUUAGAGGGACUAUGGGUAUCAAACCCAUGGAGGUUUGAGGCAACAACAGGUCUGUGAUGCCCUUAGACGUUCUGGGCCGCACGCGCGCUACACUGACGGAGCCAGCAAGUCCAACCUUGGUCGAGAGGCCCGGGUAAUCUCGUGAAACUCCGUCGUGCUGGGGAUAGAGCAUUGUAAUUUUUGCUCUUCAACGAGGAAUUCCUAGUAAGCGCAAGUCAUCAGCUUGCGUUGAUUACGUCCCUGCCCUUUGUACACACCGCCCGUCGCUACUACCGAUUGAAUGGCUUAGUGAGGCUUCAAGAUUGGCGCCGCGGGAGGGGCAACUUUCCCAUGGGGCCGAGAAUCUAGUCAAACUUGGUCAUUUAGAGGUCGUAAAAGUCGUAACAAGGUUUCCGUAGGUGAACCUGCGGAAGGAUCAUUA
rnacentral:ncRNA from 1 species